AGUAGCAUGGCGCCUGCACAAGAUGUAAAUCCAAAGGCUACAGAGUAGAAUAGCAUGGUGCCUGCACGAGGAUGACAAGCUAUUCAUUUAAAAAAUAUAUAUAUAU
rnacentral:snRNA from 1 species